CACGUAACGUCUCGUAUAGCCGAGUAGUGCAGCUAUUUUCAUUUCGGCGCCCAUGUUAGCCAAUCUGUCUGGCCACACCGGCUGUUAACACAGUGA